CGGCCAUUUCGUCGCCUCUUCCCUCCUAGUGGACGUGUGCCGCCGCGGUCGUCGACGGCCGCGGGAGGAGAGCGAUUCCACGCGGACCUGGCCUAUUAAUCUCUAGCAGCAGUGUCAUUUGGAGUGGUUGCUAGGUUGUUGGAGCAGGUUUGGGAUUAGCAACACUUGCUCGGUCGCUCGCUUCGCCAGUUUUCUCCCGUACGGUCUUGGUGGAAAAGGAAUUGUUGGUGGAGGGCGGCGGCGGCGGCGUUGAUCUCGGACAGCUUCGGUCGGAGGGAGAUGGAGGGAGGAGGGGGGACGGAGGCGAAGGCGGCGCGGGUGGAGGAGCUCUCGUCGGCGGCGGCGUUCGUGGAGGGCGGCGUCCAGGACGCCUGCGACGACGCCUGCAGCAUCUGCCUCGAGGCCUUCUCCGACAGCGACCCCUCCGCGGUGACCAGCUGCAAGCACGAGUUCCACCUCCAGUGCAUCCUUGAAUGGUGCCAGAGAAGCUCUCAGUGUCCCAUGUGUUGGCAGGCAAUCAGCAUGAAGGACCCUAUGAGCCAAGAGCUCCUUGAGGCUGUUGUGGAAGAGCGGAAUGUGCAAGAAAAUCAUGUGCCCGCAACAACUAUUUUUCGCCAUCCACUGCUCGGUGAUUUUGAGGUACCGGUAGAUGCAGAUGAUGCUGAAAUUGAAGAACGUAUCAUACAGCACUUGGCAGCUGCUGCUGCAAUUCGUAGGUCGCACCGCCAUACUAGAAGAGAAGGUCGUCGCAGCAGAUCGGCAGCGCAUGGCCACCCACAAAUUCUAGUCUUUUCAACUGCUGAGUCCACUUCUGGUGGUUCUAUGUCUUCAAAUUCACGGGAAGAAGGGGAUCAUGAACAUGCUCCUGCAGUAAUUUCUGCUCGCCCAUUGCCUAUUGUGGACUCUACAGACGAAACAGCUGCAGACACAUCUGUUCAUGACACUGUCUUGGCUAAUAAUGGCUCUGUUAUGUCAAAUAAUAGAGUUUCUAGGAACCAAUCUUCACCUGUCAGCCAAGAUGAAGCCGGACCAUCUGACGUGCAGUCAUUCUCAGACUCACUGAAAUCACGCCUGCAAUCAGUUUCAACAAAGUACAAGGAUUCUAUAACGAAUAGUACACGUGGAUGGAAGGAAAGAUGGUUCACGCAGAAGAACACUAUAUCAAAUCUUGGUUCAGAGGUGAGGAGGGAGGUCAAUGCUGGAAUCGCUGCUGUAUCUCGCAUGAUGGAGCGAUUGGAAACACGGGAUGGAACAGGACCAUCAUCUACUUCGACAACCGACAUUCAUUCUGCUUCAGAUACAAAUAACCAAGGAGCUUCGCCCCCGAAAGUUGUGGCUGUUGUAAAUGAUGCCUCGUCUUCAGCAACUUGAAUGUCACAGAUCAGAUUCUCAAUGAGUUUACACUACAUGUGGUUAUGAAGUGUGGUCCAGGACGAGACUGUUGCGAAUGAUGUCUCCUUCAGUAGGGACGUUGCUUCAUCUCCGAAUAUGCUGCGUCAAUAGGAAGAAGACACCAUAACUUGCCGUUUCUUCUGAAUGUUCGCAUGCAACAUCUGCAAUGUUUUGUAUGGAUGCAAUGAACUGGUUUGAAGUGCUAGAGAUAUGUUUCCUCUUCUGUAAAUACCCCAUUGUAUAAGGAGUUAUGUGCAUAUAUACCACCACCUGAGCUUAUUGGCCCCUGGGAAUAUAGAGCCAAAAUACGAUCUACGGUUCCGUCA